UCCCUGGUAGCUCAGCUCGUAGAGAAUCUGCCUGCCAUGCAGGAGAUCCCAGUUUGAUUUCUGGGUCAGGAAG
rnacentral:tRNA from 1 species